rnacentral:tRNA from 1 species
GUUUUUAUAGUUUAUUUUAAAACAUUGGUCUUGUAAACCAAAAAUAAGUUGAAUCUUUAAAAACU